rnacentral:rRNA from 1 species
GAUGAACGCUGGCGGCGUGCCUAAUACAUGCAAGUCGAGCGAACAGACGAGGAGCUUGCUCCUUUGACGUUAGCGGCGGACGGGUGAGUAACACGUGGAUAACCUACCUAUAAGACUGGGAUAACUUCGGGAAACCGGAGCUAAUACCGGAUAACAUGUUGAACCGCAUGGUUCAACAGUGAAAGACGGUCUUGCUGUCACUUAUAGAUGGAUCCGCGCCGCAUUAGCUAGUUGGUAAGGUAACGGCUUACCAAGGCAACGAUGCGUAGCCGACCUGAGAGGGUGAUCGGCCACACGGGAACUGAGACGCGGUCCAGACUCCUACGGGAGGCAGCAGUAGGGAAUCUUCCGCAAUGGGCGAAAGCCUGACGGAGCAACGCCGCGUGAGUGAAGAAGGUCUUCGGAUCGUAAAACUCUGUUAUUAGGGAAGAACAAAUGUGUAAGUAACUAUGCACGUCUUGACGGUACCUAAUCAGAAAGCCACGGCUAACUACGUG